CAAAUGGCCCUUUUCAGGGCCACAAAAUUUUAUGACUGGAAUAAUCU
rfam:Lasius niger Lnig_2.1_3627, whole genome shotgun sequence.